CUUGGUUUCUGUUAUUGUUUUGCUUUAUUGUCUUGCUUGUCUUUCCUUUUUUGUUCACUCUUUGAAUUACUAAUAACACACUAAUUAGUAAUUAAUGUAUCAUAUAAAGAAUCAAUCAUAUUUCAUACAAGAUUAUCUUCUUCAUCAUCACAAAUAGAAAUAACAAAAGGGGGAGAGUAAAAUCUAACUUGAGAGAAAUGCA
rnacentral:lncRNA from 1 species